rnacentral:rRNA from 1 species
UUGAACGCUGGCGGCAGGCCUAACACAUGCAAGUCGAGCGGAUGAAGGGAGCUUGCUCCUGGAUUCAGCGGCGGACGGGUGAGUAAUGCCUAGGAAUCUGCCUGGUAGUGGGGGAUAACGUCCGGAAACGGGCGCUAAUACCGCAUACGUCCUGAGGGAGAAAGUGGGGGAUCUUCGGACCUCACGCUAUCAGAUGAGCCUAGGUCGGAUUAGCUAGUUGGUGGGGUAAAGGCCUACCAAGGCGACGAUCCGUAACUGGUCUGAGAGGAUGAUCAGUCACACUGGAACUGAGACACGGUCCAGACUCCUACGGGAGGCAGCAGUGGGGAAUAUUGGACAAUGGGCGAAAGCCUGAUCCAGCCAUGCCGCGUGUGUGAAGAAGGUCUUCGGAUUGUAAAGCACUUUAAGUUGGGAGGAAGGGCAGUAAGUUAAUACCUUGUUGUUUUGACGUUACCAACAGAAUAAGCACCGGCUAACUUCGUG